rnacentral:lncRNA from 1 species
GUGGUUUGAUUCUUACUAGCCUUGAGGUGACAGAGACGAUGCAGGUGGGGAGCAGGUGCUGAUAAGCACUAUCAUUUUCACAUCAUGAAAGCCUUUCUGGAUGAUGGAGAUCUGAGGAUACCUUUUCCAUAUUUGUACCGUACCUGUUGUCACGAUGUCUCAUGACCAGAAAUAAAAUAUGAGAUAGGUUUAGCUAGUAAUGAUCAGAGGGCAUAUUGUCUCUAGGACAUUUCCUUGGUGUGAUUUGAUAAGUACAUCAUCUUUACUGGAAAAUGUUCCCCUAUGAUAGUGCUCAUGAAUACUUAGUCUGCUGCAGCUGUGAGACUCUGGAGGAGAUUAGCUCAAGGGUGGGAAGCUGAGGUACAGCAUGCUUUUUCAUAUCUUGAAAUAGGUUGCCCAUCGAUGGAGGUAAGUUCUGUCCAAAGGUCAGAGCUUCUGUGUGGUUUCAGGGGCUGGUCCUGUCAAUGUGAGUAGUUAGAAAGAGUAUGUGCUACUUUUUGUUAAUGGAACAGUUGAAGUCAUUCAGUUUUGCUCAGUGUUCUGUUGCAAUAUUCUGGGGGAAAAAAAAAUAUUUUUUGGAACAAAAACUGCCUUCCUAUUGAAAUAAAGGUCAAGUACAAUUUUGCUGCUACUCUGGCUAACAGGGCUGUUAUGACUGAUUGCAUUCAGCUUUUUAUAGUAUUAGAAGUACUGACUACAAUCCAAAACAACAACAGAAAGAGAGCAACAAAGAUGCAGCACCAGAAGAGAGGAAGCUUCAGAGUGUGAGAGUAAGUAAUCCACCCCCAGUUUUGUUGCCUGUUGCAGGAAUGCCAUCUUACUGCUUGAGAGAGAGGGAUUUGUCACAGCCCUGCUCUCAAACCAGGAAUAUGCAGGAGGCAGCCACUUGUACUGUGAGUCUGAAACACACCUGUGAAAGCUGUGCUUUUCUGCUGCAUUUCAGAUAAUGGUCAGUGAUCCUGAAAGAAAAUAUAUUCAGGGGAAAAAGAGCAAGAGACAAUAAAAGCCGUAUGUCAGGAAUGUGGAUUUUUAUU